rnacentral:lncRNA from 1 species
AGCAUAUAAGUGAGUCAUGGAAUAAAAUGCAUUUCUGGGUUACCAAAAGACUUUAGCCACACAAAUAAGUAGAGCACAGUUUGCAGCCGUGCGAUGUAGCAAAAGGUUUAACAACGGGCAGUUGAUAUAUACAAAAGAGUAGGUUUUUCUUCUGCCACUACACAUUACAAGUUGCUAAGGAUGAACAUCCGGGGAGGAAAGGUAACAAGCACGAUUUUAAGUGAGAUGCAUUCACGUUGGCCGCCAGCAUAUCAAAAGCGUGAUAAGCGUAGCAUCCUGAUCAAAGUUAACCUGAAAUACAAUUGGACAAUAUUACCAAAAGAAUACACAGAGUAAAAAACUAUACAAAAUACUGAUAAAACUAUAUUAAUAAAGAUGAGACAUGCAAACUAUGAAAUUUGAAUUGAUUAGUUACUAAGGCAAAUAAAUUGUUCAUUUGUUCAACCAUAAUGUUCAUCAUUGUGAUACACAUUUGUUAGAACAGUACCAUAGAUCAUAAACUCAAAGGUCAAUCAUCACAGGACAAAAAAUAUUCAUGUUUAAAAUAUGCCAUGUAAGCCAACUUAAAAUACAAUUGAGCAUCAUGUCUUGAAGUCCAUAUAUCCAGUCUACUCAUAAGUUUUCUUUUUAGAGAGACGUUAGUUUCCAACCACCCAACAAUCUUCACAAUCCAAAACAAUCAAAAAUUCACAUCCAUGUGCUCAUGAGUCACAUAUAUGAUUUUUAAGAAUUAGACAUAAACCAAAAUGUGAAGCACUACCAUCACAUGUUUUCAGUAUUAACAAAUGUGUUGUGGUGUAAUUCAAAUACUUAUCUACCAGCAAAUAAGGUAUACUAACAAUGUACAUUCACCUGUGAAAUAUGGAAUUGCUUUUUAUUACUGUGAUUAGGAAGAAGCCAACACUGAACCAAAAAAUUAAUAGAACAUGUACAAUUUUGAAGGGCUAUUUUGAAACAACAUUUUUUUUGCAAAAAAAGAGAACGAAAUAGUAGUGGGCAUCAUAGUUCACAGUACAUAACUGUUUUGAUAUGAGAUAAAAGACAUGUACCUUGGCAGGUUUGUGUAGGCAAAUCGUUAGCGAUGUUGCAUACAAAAGUAUGUACCACAUCUCCCCCAUCCAACUAACAUAUACGACAACUUGAGAAAAGUAGAAAUAGAUGAUAACCCUGAAUUACACAUGGCUGCAACUGUGAAGGCAAAAGUUCCACGUUCCUACACCAGCACCUAAUUAUCUUUCUCAUCACUGAAAAGAGAGCAGACACAAUUGUAGUCAAACAGAAAGAUGCAUAUAUGUUUGAUAUAUCAAAUUAUAAAAAAAUGGAAAACCUCGACCCCCAACUUGAGAGCUUACAAUACAUGUAAAGUAUAGACAAGACGAAUUCAGUGCCAUUAGCUACGGCUAGAAAUAGUCUAUGCAUAGUCCAAAAGUGCCUUCUAAGCUUGAUCUAAGGUAAAUAACAUGUCCAGUUGAGUACUGGCAUGUGACUUUACACUGGUGCUCUCUUUUCUAAAUUUAUUAUUAUUAU